AGAGUUUUUUCCUGGCUCAGGAUGAACGCUAGCGGCAGGCUUAACACAUGCAAGUCGAGGGGCAGCGGGGAGGAAGCUUGCUUUCUCCGCCGGCGACCGGCGCACGGGUGAGUAACACGUAUGCAACCUGCCCCUGUCAGGGGGACAACCCGCCGAAAGGCGGGCUAAACCCGCGUACAUGCCACCGGGGCAUCCCGGAGGCAGGAAAGGCUUCGGCCGGACAGGGAUGGGCAUGCGGCGCAUUAGGCAGUAGGCGGGGUAACGGCCCACCUAACCGACGAUGCGUAGGGGUUCUGAGAGGAAGGUCCCCCACACUGGUACUGAGACACGGACCAGACUCCUACGGGAGGCAGCAGUGAGGAAUAUUGGUCAAUGGUCGGGAGACUGAACCAGCCAAGCCGCGUGAGGGAGGAAGGUACAGAGUAUCGUAAACCUCUUUUGUCAGGGAACAAAGGCGGGGACGUGUCCCCGGAUGAGUGUACCUGAAGAAAAAGCAUCGGCUAACUCCGUGCCAGCAGCCGCGGUAAUACGGAGGAUGCGAGCGUUAUCCGGAUUUAUUGGGUUUAAAGGGUGCGCAGGCGGUCUGUUAAGUCAGCGGUCAAAGCCCGGGGCUCAACCCCGGCCCGCCGUUGAAACUGGCAGUCUCGAGUUGGAGAGAAGUAUGCGGAAUGCGCGGUGUAGCGGUGAAAUGCAUAGAUAUCGCGCAGAACUCCGAUUGCGAAGGCAGCAUGCCGGCUCCACACUGACGCUGAGGCACGAAAGCGUGGGUAUCGAACAGGAUUAGAUACCCUGGUAGUCCACGCAGUAAACGAUGAAUGCUGACGUUCCGGGGGGAUUGACCCUUGGGUGGUCAAAGGGAAAGGCGUUAAGCAUUCCACCUGGGGAGUACGCCGGCAACGGUGAAACUCAAAGGAAUUGACGGGGACCCGCACAAGCGGUGGAGCAUGUGGUUUAAUUCGAAGCAACGGGAAGAAACCUUACCAAGUCUUGACAUCCCCCUGGAUGGCGAGCAAAGUCGCCAGGCCUACGGGACAGGGGAGACAGGUGGUGCAUGGUUGUCGUCAGCUCGUGUCGUGAGAUGUUGGGUUAAGUCCCGCAACGAGCGCAACCCUUAUCCUCAGUAGCCAGCGAGCAGAGUCGGGCACUCUGGGGAGACUGCCAGGGACAACCUGGAGGAAGGCGGGGACGACGUCAAAUCAUCAUGCCCCUUAUGAUUUGGGCUACACACGUGCUACAAUGGCGUAAACAAAGGGAGGCGAGAUGGCGACAUGGAGCGAACCCCAAAAAUAACGUCCCAGUUCGGAUUGUAGUCUGCAACCCGACUACAUGAAGCUGGAAUCGCUAGUAAUCGCGGAUCAGAAUGCCGCGGUGAAUACGUUCCCGGGUCUUGCACACACCGCCCGUCAAG
rnacentral:rRNA from 1 species